AACCACUUAAGCGUUGAAUGCAG
rnacentral:piRNA from 1 species